rnacentral:rRNA from 1 species
AUUGAACGCUGGCGGCAGGCCUAACACAUGCAAGUCGCACGAGUGGCGGACGGGUGAGUAAUGUCUGGGAAACUGCCCGAUGGUGGGGGAUAACUACUGGAAACGGUAGCUAAUACCGCAUACCAUCGGAUGUGCGCAGAAGGGAUUAGCUUGUAGGGUGGGUACCUGCUACCCUAGGCGACGAUCCCUAGGUGGUCUGAGAGGAUGACCAGCCACACUGGAACUGAGACACGGUCCAGACUCCUACGAGAGGCAGCAGGGGGGAAUAUUGCACAAUGGGCGCAAGCCUGAUGCAGCCAUGCCGCGUGUAUGAAGAAGGCCUUCGGGUUGUAAAGUACUUUCAGCGAGGAGGCGUUACUCGCAGAAGAAGCACCGGCUAACUCCGUGCCAGCAGCCGCGGUAAUAC